rnacentral:rRNA from 1 species
GACGAACGCUGGCGGCGUGCUUAACACAUGCAAGUCGAACGGAAAGGCCCUGCUUGCAGGGUACUCGAGUGGCGAACGGGUGAGUAACACGUGGGUGAUCUGCCCUGCAUUUCGGGAUAAGCCUGGGAAACUGGGUCUAAUACCGGAUAGGAGCCAUUUUUAGUGUGAUGGUUGGAAAGUUUUUUCGGUGUAGGAUGAGCUCGCGGCCUAUCAGCUUGUUGGUGGGGUAAUGGCCUACCAAGGCGGCGACGGGUAGCCGGCCUGAGAGGGUGGACGGCCACAUUGGGACUGAGAUACGGCCCAGACUCCUACGGGAGGCAGCAGUGGGGAAGAUUGCACAAUGGGCGCAAGCCUGAUGCAGCGACGCCGCGUGGGGGAUGACGGCCUUCGGGUUGGAAACUCCUUUCGCUAGGGACGAAGCUUUUUGUGACGGUACCUAGAGAAGAAGCACCGGCUAACUACGUG